rnacentral:lncRNA from 1 species
UUUCAGAUAAACAGCAAUUAUGUUUUUUUAGGAUAACUAGGUCCCAUGCAAUCUUGGGGACUAAAAAGUUAUUUCAGUGUUUAUCUGAAAUUCAGAUUUAAGUGGACGUCCAGUAUGUUAUCCAGCAAUCCUGCCGUUGGACCACAUCCUCCCCUUGCAGAUUUGGGGAGAGAGUUGAGGCACUGAGAAGAAGAACUAAAAUGACUGAGUUUCAUAGAGAUGCAGAGGACAGAGCGCUGACAGGCACAGUUUCUCUCUUCUUGGCCGCUGCAUGAAAUUGCCUCAAAG